rnacentral:misc_RNA from 1 species
GUAGGUGAACCUGCGGAAGGAUCAUUAACGAACAAGAAAUUCAAUUUGCUUGAAUCUCUCGGGAUCAACCAAAACCUAUGUAAUGUAAAAUGUAUAUCGAUUAAUACUCGAAUACGCAAAUAAUUUUAAUAAAUACAAAACUUUCAACAACGGAUCUCUUGGCUCUC